rnacentral:tRNA from 4 species
GUGGCUAUAGCUCAAUUGGUUAGAGCGCCUGCCUGUGGAGCAGGAGGUUGCCGGUUCAAGUCCGGUUAGCCACCCA